AUUUUUCCUCUUUUGUGAUCUAGACAACAGUGAUGCCAACGGGAGCUGAAGUUCAGCAUCUGAAGAGACUACCAGAGGUAAAGUUACAUUUCUCUCAAAGGUGUUAAUUGCACUUGUAGUUGCUGCUGUUUGUUCCUUCCAGCUGUAAGCAGUGGAAUGUGAUUUCUUUUUUUAGCCAACAGAUGAUUCUUGAACUGUUGUUGCAGCCCAGAGGGAAGUGAAGAAGGUACACGGAAGAACAGACUCAUUCCUUCUGCUCUUCAUUCUCAUAUUUAUAGGGGGGGAUUCGUCCGAGUGAAGCGAGCGGAAAUAGAACGUAAUUCCCUUUAGAUGGCACUUCUCCUCUGCAAUUCUGACCUCGGUUGUGUUUGGGGUGGAGGUCAGAGUGUGGUGGAGGUGUCACAGACGUCGUAUUCUGACCUGGUUUUGUUUGGGGUGGAGAUCAGAGUGUGGCGGAGGGGUCUACAGACGUCGUAUUCUGACCUCGGUUUUGUUUGGGGUGGAGGUCAGAGUGUGGCGGAGGUGUCUACAGGGUGGGAUCAGAUGUGCGGAGGUGCUACAGACGUCGUAUUCUGACCUCGUUGUGUUUGGGGUGGAGGUCAGAGUGUGGUGGGGUGUCUACAGAUACUUGUAUCUGACCUCGUUUUGUUUGGGGGGAGAUCGAGUGUGGUGAGGUGUCUACAGAUACUUCGUAUUCUGACUUGAUUUAAUUCCCUCAUAAUUCCACCACCUUUCCGCAUGAUGAAACCAUGAAUAAGGUCUAAUGAACCUACUGGUCUCCAGUGGGACAGUGAAAGGCUAUAAACAGCUGAGCCGAUUCAGAAUUUGAAUUGUAUGCCCUCAUAAUUUGCGUGGAUGAAAUGUGGGGAUCCGGCGCGUGUAGGGCAACCUGCCGAUUGAUGAGACACUUUAAAAUGUUUGAAUUAUAUGCCUGGGCUUUUCGACGGUUUAUUUGACCUUGUAUCAUGUUAAUAUUAGGCACUAUCAGGACCACCAUCAGUAAUACCCACAUACAUUUAUAAGUGUUAGUUUUCUUCAAUUUGUACCUUACAUUUAGCAUCAUCCAUUCUGUUGACCUUCCUUUCCACUGUCACGUCAGUGUCGUUGUUCCUGAAGGUCGCUAGUAUUGGAUCAUAUAGACAACGUUGUGCAAUAAUGUAGGACAGGUAGCCUAUUAGAUCAUAUGGAACUC
rnacentral:lncRNA from 1 species